rnacentral:misc_RNA from 1 species
GGAACCCUUGUGAUGAUUCGUGCCAUAAGUGCCCCUCUCGACAGAGAUGUCUCCAAUUUCCUCAUAUUUUGGUAUGCUCUCAUGCCAGAAUGCAGCUUCUUAACUGCACCCCACAUCCCAUGACGAACACCAACCUUCGCAACAUCCUUCGGGAUGCCCAUGUCCUCGUAAUGAACGAGAGUCACCUCACACGCUGAUAGCUGCCCAUCUUGUUUCAAGGACUCCACAGCCCUGAUGCGCCAGCUUGAGAAGUAUAGC